rnacentral:rRNA from 1 species
ACCAGACUCCUACGGGAGGCAGCAGUGGGGAAUAUUGCGCCAUGGGGGCAACCCUGCCGCAGCAACGCCGCUUGAUUGACGCCGGCCUUCGGGUUUUCCCGAUCUUUCAUCUUUGACGAAUUUUGCCGGUACCCGCCUCCUCAGCUCCGUCUCCCUACGUGCCCGCCGCCGCGGUAAUCCGUCGGGAGCAAUCUUUAUCCGGAUUUCCUGGGUGUAAAGGGCGUGUAGGCGGGCAUGCAAGCCAGAAGGGAAAUCUGGGGGAGUAACCCCCAAACUGCUUUUGGAACUGCGUGUCUUGAGUGAUGGAGAGGCAGGCGGAAUUCCCAGUGUAGCGGUGAAAUGCGUAGAGAGGGGGAGGAACACCAGUGGCGAAGGCGGCCUGCUGGACAUUAACUGACGCUGAGGCGCGAAAGCGUGGGGAGCAAACAGGAUUAGAUACCCCAGUA